rnacentral:rRNA from 1 species
GUGGGGAAUCUUGCGCAAUGGGCGAAAGCCUGACGCAGCCAUGCCGCGUGAAUGAUGAAGGUCUUAGGAUUGUAAAAUUCUUUCACCGGGGACGAUAAUGACGGUACCCGGAGAAGAAGCUCCGGCUAACUUCGUGCCAGCAGCCGCGGUAAUACGAAGGGGGCUAGCGUUGCUCGGAAUUACUGGGCGUAAAGGGCGCGUAGGCGGAGCGUUAAGUCAGUGGUGAAAUCCUGCAGCUUAACUGUAGACUUGCCAUUGAUACUGGCGCUCUUGAGUGCGCUUGAAGUGGGCGGAAUGUGCCGUGUAGCGGUGAAAUGCUUAGAUAUGGCACAGAACACCAAUUGCGAAGGCAGCUCACUAAGGCGAUACUGACGCUGAGGCACGAAAGCGUGGGGAUCGAACAGGAUUAGAAACCCGUGUAGUCC